rnacentral:rRNA from 1 species
UACGGAGGGUGCAAGCGUUAAUCGGAAUCACUGGGCGUAAAGCGCGCGUAGGCGGCUUGGUAAGUCAGGUGUGAAAGCCCCCGGCCCAACCGGGGAAUUGCACUUGAUACUGCUAGGCUAGAGUUCAGGAGAGGGUGGCGGAAUUCCAGGUGUAGGAGUGAAAUCCGUAGAUAUCUGGAGGAACACCGGUGGCGAAGGCGGCCACCUGGACUGACACUGACGCUGAGGUGCGAAAGCGUGGGUAG